UGCCGUAGGUUGACGCAAAGUGUCAAACUUGGCCCACCCGUCAGUUCCACUUGCUGACCUCCAGUCCUCCACCAUGAAUCGGGGAUCCCCAAUCUCGUGCCCCCGGAGCUCCCUCCCGGCGCCGCCGCCUCUUGCAUCGGUGAUCCCCAAUCUCGUGCCUCCAGAGCUCCCUCCCAGCGCCGCUGCCUCUUGCCCUGCGCCCUCCCCUUCUCACUGUCUGAUUCAGACGGGGAAGCACGGCUGCGUGAAGGAGGUCUGGAUCUGACGCCCUGUGAUCUCGCCGUCCCUGCCCGACAAGCAGCGGUGGCCGUCCCCAUUCUCCGCAGCGGCCCGUCUGCCUCCCAGAUCCGGCCGGUGCUGCCUGUCCACCGCGGCCAGACCAAGAAGACCGACCAUGGGGCAUUUGGAGAGGACGGGAAGCAAAAGGGUGGAAGGAGGACCAGUCAGAACAAUACUCCGUAGAUCAGGGCAGAUAUGACAGUCAUCAUAAUGCGCCUCAAGUUAUACUGAGGACUUCUCCAGUAAGUUAUGUUUUGUUUCCACAAGCAAGCUUUAAGUUGAAUCCAGCCAUUCUGUGCAAAACUAUGGGAGAAGCGUAGAUUUUCUGAAUUUGGUAAUGGGAUACUUAGCUGCUCCACUAGAUCUUCAGCUUCUCUGCAGAAAAGUAACUUUAAUUCUUCGAAACUUCAAAUGGAGGUAUUUUGUUUGGCUAAAAUUUUUGCUACUCCCUCCGUUCACUUUUAUAAGUCGUUUCAGACAAGUAAAAUUAAGCUGUUUUGCACAAUGUCUGAAAUAUCUACAAAGCCUUAUAAAAGUGAGCAGAGGGAGUAGAUGAAUUUUAUUUUGCUUAAGCUAUUCAUAUAUGUUGUCUUUUGCUCGAUAUUCUAACUAAAUCCACAAGAUAUGUACCUAUGCAGUGACGACUCUUCAUACAAAAUUGCAAAGUCCAUGUUGUGUUGAACCUCCAUUGAUGUCGAUGUUACAUCCAUCAUCCAGGUAGCUGGAUUGCAGUUACUCUUUAUUUUUGGGACUCCAGAAAUUUUCUAUCAAGUGGACAAGCAAAAAUCAAUCUAUUAGAAUCAAAGGACACAUGUCACAAAUAUGGCAGAGCCAUGCCACAACCGUGCUUCCUCUCUGAAAACACCGAAACACAUACAUAGAUAUGCAAACAAAGUUCUUCAGUAUGUUUUUAGUUUCCCUUGCCAAUCUGCACGUUUAUUAUCACAUUUGCUUUUAAGUUCAACAUGUGAAAUGCAUAUGAUCACAUCAAAAUUUUGAUUAACCUAUAUAUUUCAUGUGAAUUGUUAGCCAAGUUACAUAUUGAACACAAAUGACUGCUAUAGUUGACUUAAGUGUUUUGGCCAUGGCAUGUUGAACAUUUGAGCACUGGUUUUGGGGUUUGUAACUUUGGAACUCUCACGUUUAAUGUCCCAAUUCCAGAAAAAACAGGGAAAAUGAAUAAUCAAGAAAAGGCAGAUACAUUUGUGGAAAUAUGUUCAAGAAACUUGCCUCAAAGUACUCAAUCACUUUGCAGGAGCGCUCUCCUAUUGGUCCAUUGUAGAUUGUUUUCCCACCGGUUUUCAUUAAUAUGAGCUGCAAGAAAAUUUACCACAUGCAUUAUAGGCAACUUUUGACUACAACUAGCCCUGUAAUAAAGAAAAUAUAUACCCUUUUGUUAUUGUAUAAACAGAGAAGUAGCAAAUAUAAACUGUCCGUAGUCACGUCGAUUUGUGAUAAACAUAUAGAUCUGAGAUUUUACGGAUUUCCUAUACUAUACCAAUUUCUAUUUGUUACACUAUUUCCGCUCACGUACCGUAUUAAUGGGCGAACAACCCAACCCUUGGAACCACCUACAGCUAUGUGGUAUGGGUCAGCAACGACCCCAGUCGAAUUAUUUGGGCCUACUCAUUUUAUUAAUCAAAGAGAUACGACUUUGGGCUAAGGAAUUCAUUAUAGGAAUGUUUCUGAUAGAAAUGGUUUGCUUUUGCACAUUCAGGAAACCAAAAAAUAUUCUAUUCGGUGACUUUGCAGUAUAAGCCCUCAAAAUUGUUUUAGUUCUGUAUUCAAGCCCAGUAAGUCCAAAUUUUGGCGAUGCGAUGACAAAUUUGUGUCAGUGUGGACACUUAGUUCAAAUAAGAGAUAAAAAUUAACUGACAUUGAACACAUAGACGUUCAAAUAAUUAAGAGAUCAAAACAUGUCAUUGUAUGUUUAUACUUUAUUCUUCAUGCGGACUGAUAUAGUGGGGUUGUUUUUAUACCCAAAGUCCAAAUGUUUAAGGUAAGAAAAGUUCUCCCGAAACAGAAAAUUGAUGGUAGAUGCUCCCUCUGUCACAAAAUGUAAGGCGUUUUUUGACACUAUGAUAAUGUCAAAAAGCGUCUUAUAUUUUUACACAGAGGGAGUAGUAAAUACUCCGAAGGGGAGCCUUGGCGCAGUGGUAAAGCUGCUGCCUUGGUUCAAGUCCUGGAAACAGCCUCUUACAGAAAUGUAGGGAAAGGCUGCGUACUAUAGAUCCAAAGUGGUCGGACCCUUUCACGGAACCUGCGCAGGGCUGCCUUAGGGAGUAGUUGUUAAGCAUCUUACUAUAAUUUAGAUCCAAUCCUACUUAGCUCAAAUCAAUGUUUAUAUCUCUAUUAUUCAAAGGGUCAAAAAAUGUCUUACAUUUUGAGACAGAGGGAGUAGCAAAUACUCCCUCCGUUCUUAAAUACAAGUCUUUGUAGGGAUUUCAUCAGGUGGACUACAUACGGAGCAAAAUGAAUGAAUCUAAACUUAAAAUGCAUCUAUAUACAUCCGUAUGUGGUUCAUAGUGGAAUCUCUACAAAGACUUACAUUUAGGAACGGAGGGAGUAGUUGUUAAGCGAAGGGGAGCCUUGGCGCAGUGGUAAAGCUGCUGCCUUGUGACCAAGAGGUCACGGGUUCAAGUCCUGGAAACAGCCUCUUACAGAAAUGUAGGGAAAGGCUGCGUACUAUAGACCCAAAGUGGUCGGACCCUUCCCCGGACCCUGCGCAAGCGGGAGCUACAUGCACCGGGCUGCCCUUUUUAGGGAGUAGUUGUUAAGCGUCUUACUAUAAUUUAGAUACCAAUCCUACUUAGCUCAAAUCAAUGUUUAUUCAUAGAUAUAUUAUUCAAAGGGGUCUGAUUAGGUAUUUUCAGUAUAAAAUGCUGGAUCUAACAAAACCAAAUAAGAGAAGGUUUCAUAUAAGCAAAGUUUAAGUUGAAGGGUUUUGUUGCACAUAAUUGAUCAUUUGAGGGGACAAAAGUGCAAUUUGAAGUCUAGGUUGUGCAAAGUGAAAUCUUGACAGGCUUAUAUUGCAAAUUUUGAUCCUAUUAUUUCCUAUCAUUAUUAUUUACUAGAAAGGCAUGAACAAAAGACAUGUGUUUUAAAUUUUGGGUAACUAAUAAUGUACUACAUCUGUAACUAAAUAUAAGACGUUUUUGCAGUUCAAUUUGAACUGCAAAAACGUCUUAUAUUUGGUUACAGAGGUAGUGCAUCUUAAGCUUAGCCCAGCUCUGCUGAAGGCAAGAGCUUUAUUUAAUCCCAAUAGUUUUGAAACUAGACAUAUUUGAUGUUUCCAGAAAAAAUAAAUUGUGUUGAUCGUGCUUGAUAUAUAUAAUAAAAAUUUAUUUGUGUUGAUUGUGUUUAAUAUACUAAUAUAUUUGGAAAGUUAAAUUACCUCAUCAAAUGCCUCAAAAAUUUCAGUGCUCGGCUGAUGGAUUGUACAGACUACCGUCCUUCCUGUUUCACAAAUAUUUUUGACUGCACGAAUAACAAUGGCUGCUGACCUUGUAUCUAAACCUGUUGUUGGUUCAUCCAUUAGUAUGAUUGAUGGGUUUGAAACAAGCUCGACUGCAAUCGUUAGCCUCUUUCUCUGCUCCAUGGACAAUCCAUUUUUCUGUGGUGACCCCACUAAGACAUCUUUUAUUUGAUCUAGUUCAACAGUUUCAAGGACUUCAGCAACAAAUUUCUAUGAGAGGAAAAAGAAGAAUAUUGUUAGUUUCUUAGGCAGACGAAGCCACGCAGAAUAAGUUACAGACUCUUCAACUGUAAGCUGUGGGGAAUGUAUGUCGACUUGUUCGCAGUAACCCAAGAUUCUGACAAAUGUUUCCUGCACCUUGGGAUAUCCACCUAUUCUUAUGUCCCCUUCAAUAUAACCUCCUGUUUUCC